rnacentral:ncRNA from 2 species
CUAAAUCUUCAGGGCAGGGUGUAAUUCCCGAUCGGCGGUAUAGUCCGCGAGCCGUAAAUGGCAGAACCGUUUAAAUACGGUACCGACAGUUAAAGUCUGGAAGGAAGAAGAAUUUA